rnacentral:rRNA from 1 species
AAGCAUAUCAAUAAGCGGAGGAAAAGAAACCAACAGGGAUUGCCCUAGUAACGGCGAGUGAAGCGGCAACAGCUCAAAUUUGAAAUCUGGCCCCCGGGUCCGAGUUGUAAUUUGUAGAGGAUGCUUUUGGUGCGGUACCUUCCGAGUUCCCUGGAACGGGACGCCAUAGAGGGUGAGAGCCCCGUCUGGUUGGACGCCAAUCCUUUGUAAAGCUCCUUCGACGAGUCGAGUAGUUUGGGAAUGCUGCUCUAAAUGGGAGGUAUAUGUCUUCUAAAGCUAAAUAUUGGCCAGAGACCGAUAGCGCACAAGUAGAGUGAUCGAAAGAUGAAAAGCACUUUGAAAAGAGAGUUAAAAAGUACGUGAAAUUGUUGAAAGGGAAGCGCUCAUGACCAGACUUGGGCCCGGUUGAUCAUCCAGGGUUCUCCCUGGUGCACUCUUCCGGCCCAGGCCAGCAUCAGUUCGCUGUGGGGGAUAAAGGCUUCGGGAAUGUGGCUCCUCCGGGAGUGUUAUAGCCCGCUGCGUAAUACCCUGUGGCGGACUGAGGUUCGCGCAUCUGCAAGGAUGCUGGCGUAAUGGUCAUCAGCGACCCGUCUUGAAACACGGACCAAGGAGUCGUCUUCGUAUGCGAGUGUUCGGGUGUUAAACCCCUACGCGGAAUGAAAGUGAACGCAGGUGAGAGCUUCGGCGCAUCAUCGACCGAUCCUGAUGUUCUCGGAUGGAUUUGAGUAAGAGCAUACGGGGCCGGACCCGAAAGAAGGUGAACUAUGCCUGUAUAGGGUGAAGCCAGAGGAAACUCUGGUGGAGGCUCGCAGCGGUUCUGACGUGCAAAUCGAUCGUCAAAUAUGGGCA